rnacentral:rRNA from 1 species
AAUAGAUACCCGGGUAGUCCACGCCGUAAACGAUGAGUGCUAAGUGUUGGAGGGUUUCCGCCCUUCAGUGCUGCAGCUAACGCAUUAAGCACUCCGCCUGGGGAGUACGGUCGCAAGACUGGAACUCAAAGGAAUUGACGGGGGCCCGCACAAGCGGUGGAGCAUGUGGUUUAAUUCGAAGCAACGCGAAGAACCUUACCAGGUCUUGACAUCUCCUGACCGCCCUGGAGACAGGGUCUUCCCUCCGGGGACAGGAUGACAGGUGGUGCAUGGUUGUCGUCAGCUCGUGUCGUGAGAUGUUGGGUUAAGUCCCGCAACGAGCGCAACCCUUGGUUCUAGUUGCCAGCAUUGAGUUGGGCACUCUAGAGCGACUGCCGGCGACAAGUCGGAGGAAGGUGGGGAUGACGUCAAAUCAUCAUGCCCCUUAUGACCUGGGCUACGACACGUGCUACAAUGGAUGGUACAAAGGGCAGCGAAGCGGCGACGCAUAAGCGAAUCCCAGAAAACCAUUCUCAGUUCGGAUU